rnacentral:rRNA from 1 species
GUAAGGAAUAUUGGGCAAUGGACGAAAGUCUGACCCAGCCAUGCCGCGUGAAGGAUUAAGGUCCUCUGGAUUGUAAACUUCUUUUCUCUGGGGCGAAAACCACCCUUUCUAGGGUAUUUGACAGUACCAGAGGAAUAAGCACCGGCUAACUCCGUGCCAGCAGCCGCGGUAAUACGGAGGGUGCAAGCGUUAUCCGGAUUCACUGGGUUUAAAGGGUGCGUAGGUGGGUCUGUAAGUCAGUGGUGAAAUCCCCGAGCUUAACUUGGGAACUGCCGUUGAUACUAUAGAUCUUGAAUAUCGUGGAGGUAAGCGGAAUAUGUCAUGUAGCGGUGAAAUGCUUAGAUAUGACAUAGAACACCAAUUGCGAAGGCAGCUUACUACACGAUCAUUGACACUGAGGCACGAAAGCGUGGGGAGCAAACAGGAUUAGAAACCCUGGUAGUCC